CCUACGGGGGGCAGCAGUGAGGAAUAUUGGUCAAUGGACGCAAGUCUGAACCAGCCAUGCCGCGUGCAGGAAGACGGCUCUAUGAGUUGUAAACUGCUUUUGUACGAGGGUAAACGCAGAUACGCGUAUCUGUCUGAAAGUAUCGUACGAAUAAGGAUCGGCUAACUCCGGGCCAGCAGCCGCGGUAAUACGGAGGAUUCAAGCGUUAUCCGGAUUUAGUGGGUUUAAAGGGUGCGUAGGCGGUAGGAUAAGUUAGAGGUGAAAUCCCGAGGCUCAACUUCGGAAUUGCCUCUGAUACUGUUCGGCUAGAGAGUAGUUGCGGUAGGCGGAAUGUAUGGUGUAGCGGUGAAAUGCUUAGAGAUCAUACAGAACACCGAUUGCGAAGGCAGAUUACCAAGCUACUUCUGACGUUGAGGCACGAAAGCGUGGGGAGCAAACAGGAUUAGAUACCCCUGUAGUC
rnacentral:rRNA from 1 species